rnacentral:rRNA from 1 species
AGAGUUUGAUCAUGGCUCAGAUUGAACGCUGGCGGCGUGCUUAACACAUGCAAGUCGAGCGGUAACAGGCGUAGCAAUACGUGCUGACGAGCGGCGAACGGGUGCGUAAUACAUGGGAAUCUGCCCUUUGGUGGGGAAUAACCCGGCGAAAGCCGGGCUAAUGCCGCAUGAGAUCUUCGGAUGAAAGCGGGGGAUCGUAAGACCUCGCGCCGAUGGAUGAGCCCAUGUCGGAUUAGCUUGUUGGUGAGGUAACGGCUCACCAAGGCGACGAUCCGUAGCUGGUCUGAGAGGACGGCCAGCCACACUGGGACUGAGACACGGCCCAGACUCCUACGGGAGGCAGCAGUGGGGAAUAUUGGACAAUGGGCGAAAGCCUGAUCCAGCGACGCCGCGUGUGUGAAGAAGGCCUGCGGGUUGUAAAGCACUUUCGAUGGGAACGAAAUGUGCCGGGCUAAUACCCCGGCAAGCUGACGUUACUCAAUGAAGAAGCACCGGCUAAC